rnacentral:rRNA from 1 species
UGCGUAGGCGGCCUUUUAAGUCAGCGGUGAAAGUCUGUGGCUCAACCAUAGAAUUGCCGUUGAAACUGGGGGGCUUGAGUAUGUUUGAGGCAGGCGGAAUGCGUGGUGUAGCGGUGAAAUGCAUAGAUAUCACGCAGAACCCCGAUUGCGAAGGCAGCCUGCCAAGCCAUGACUGACGCUGAUGCACGAAAGCGGUGGGAUACAAACGA